GCAAGUCGAGGGGUAGUUUGUGCUUGCACGAACUGGAGACCGGCGAACGGGUGCGUAACGCGUAUGUAACUUGCCUUAAACAGGGGGAUAGCCCGGAGAAAUUUGGAUUAAUACCCCAUAGUAUCGUUAAAAGGCAUCUUUUUUCGAUUAAAGAUUUAUUUUGGUUUAAGAUAGACAUGCGUCCUAUUAGCUAGAUGGUGAGGUAAUGGCUCACCAUGGCUACGAUAGGUAGGGGUCCUGAGAGGGAUGUC
rnacentral:rRNA from 1 species